UACGGAGGGUGCAAGCGUUAUCCGGAUUCACUGGGUUUAAAGGGUGCGUAGGUGGGCAGUUAAGUCUAGUGGUGAAAUCUCCGGGCUUAACCCGGGAAACUGCCCAUUGAAUACUAUCUGUCUUGAAUAUCGUGGAGGUAAGCGGAAUAUGUCAUGUAGCGGUGAAAUGCUUAGAUAUGACAUAGAACACCAAUUGCGAAGGCAGCUUACUACCCGAAUAUUGACACUGAGGCACGAAAGCGUGGGGAUCAAACAGG
rnacentral:rRNA from 1 species